CGGCGGCCGGGUGUGCCGAGCCAGACGCGUGCCAUUCCGCGCGGAGGCACCAUGCUCGCCCCAGACAGAUUCGCCAUGUUCCUGCUGCUCUAUGGACAGGAGGUGAUCGAGCGGCCCGCCCCCUGGUGACACGGCCGUGGAGCGCCAGGGGCCGGGCACCGUGAGCACCGAACCUGCCGGACUGUACCGUUGACGACCU
rnacentral:lncRNA from 1 species